AGGAGACAGAGACAGAUGGAUCUCUGUGAGCUUAAGGCCACCCUGGGCUACAAGAGGUUGAGUCAGUGUGAAAGAAAAACAGUCAAGUGGUGGUGGCUCACACCAUUAAUCCCAGGACUACCGAGGUAGAGAUGGGAAGGGAUAUGGCUGAGUGGAGAGAGGAAUAUAAGGCAGAGGAGACAGGAACUCAGGAUUGUCGGAGGAUUCCUAGAAAAAGGAUUGCCCAUUCGACCUAAAGAUUUGGUAGAGGUUCCCCGUAUAUGAACACGUGGGAAUCCAGAGUUAACACCCAGGAGGGCUCCAAGUUCUUACAUGAAGGAACAAGAACAAGCUAUCCUUCCCCUUCAACGACAGGAAUGGAAUGAUUCAGAGGGCAGCUCAAGUCCAGACAUUCCUCCUAACCAAAUCACCAAGCAGGAACACCCACUCCAUGAGGGAAGCAGAGAGUACUUGACUGGCUUACAAAGGAACUUACUGUGACACCCUUAUCUUAGUGGCAUGAAUAAGCUGCCACUGACAACCAGUCAAGGCGAUUGUGCAACGUGGUUAUACGCUAGAGAGCAUUUAAUGUCACAUCAACCCAUUGCAUGCAUUAAGAGACUCGCAGUGUUGUCUUAGCAGUUUCCUGCCUGCUGUGGAAUGGUGUCCUGGUAGGAGAAGCAUAUGAACAUUCCAGUCCUAACACCACUCGUUCUUUAUUCCGAGUCUAAGGUGGGUGCAAAGUCAGAGUUUCUGUCUUAACUCCAAGCAAGGCUGAGAAAGCAAAUCAGUUCUGCAGUUUUAUGACAUGAGGUACAUGAGCCAGAUGAAGAGUUUCUUGAAACAUCGAUUAGGCGAUGGACUGUUGAAAAAAAAAUAAAAUGUGGAAAAUAUUUCAUGAAGUGGACAUCUGUGACCAAAAAGUGUUAGCAGCCAUCCUUUCUUAAGUUCAAUAUAAGGAACCAUUACCUAUUUCAUUCACAACAACCCAAAUUCUGCUUAUUAUAAGUCAAAGGUGUCUAAAUAAAAUCAUUUUGUUUCAUCUCA